GUGGGGAAUUUUGGACAAUGGGGGCAACCCUGAUCCAGCCAUCCCGCGUGUGCGAUGAAGGCCUUCGGGUUGUAAAGCACUUUUGGCAGGGAAGAAAAGGCGCCGGCUAACACCUGGCGCUGCUGACGGUACCUGCAGAAUAAGCACCGGCUAACUACGUGCCAGCAGCCGCGGUAAUACGUAGGGUGCAAGCGUUAAUCGGAAUUACUGGGCGUAAAGCGUGCGCAGGCGGUUCGGAAAGAAAGAUGUGAAAUCCCAGGGCUUAACCUUGGAACUGCAGUUUUAACUGCCGGGCUAGAGUAUGUCAGAGGGGGGUAGAAUUCCACGUGUAGCAGUGAAAUGCGUAGAGAUGUGGAGGAAUACCGAUGGCGAAGGCAGCCCCCUGGGAUGAUACUGACGCUCAUGCACGAAAGCGUGGGGAGCAAACAGGAUUAGAAACCCUUGUAGUCC
rnacentral:rRNA from 1 species